AUUGAACGCUGGCGGCAGGCUUAACACAUGCAAGUCGAGCGGGGUGAUGGUGCUUGCACUAUCACUUAGCGGCGGACGGGUGAGUAAUGCUUAGGAAUCUGCCUAUUAGUGGGGGACAACAUCUCGAAAGGGAUGCUAAUACCGCAUACGUCCUACGGGAGAAAGCAGGGGAUCACUUGUGACCUUGCGAUAAUAGAUGAGCCUAAGUCGGAUUAGCGAGUUGGUGGGGUAAAGGCCUACCAAGGCGACGAUCUGUAGCGGGUCUGAGAGGAUGAUCCGCCACACUGGGACUGAGACACGGCCCAGACUCCUACGGGAGGCAGCAGUGGGGAAUAUUGGACAAUGGGGGGAACCCUGAUCCAGCCAUGCCGCGUGUGUGAAGAAGGCCUUAUGGUUGUAAAGCACUUUAAGCGAGGAGGAGGCUCUUUUGGUUAAUACCCAAGAUGAGUGGACGUUACUCGCAGAAUAAGCACCGGCUAACUCUGUGCCAGCCGCCGCAGUAA
rnacentral:rRNA from 1 species